rnacentral:rRNA from 1 species
GACGAACGCUGGCGGCGUGCUUAACACAUGCAAGUCGAACGAGAAUCUACUGAAAGAGUUUUCGGACAAUGGAUGUAGAGGAAAGUGGCGGACGGGUGAGUAACGCGUGAGGAACCUGCCUUGAAGAGGGGGACAACAGUUGGAAACGACUGCUAAUACCGCAUGACGCAUAGAGGUCGCAUGACAUAUGUUUGAAAGCUCCGGCGGAUACGGAUAGGCUCGCGGGACAUUAGCUAGUUGGAGUGGUAACGGCACACCAAGGCGACGAUGUCUAGGGGUUCUGAGAGGAAGGUCCCCCCACAUUGGAACUGAGACACGGUCCAAACUCCUACGGGAGGCAGCAGUGAGGAAUAUUGGUCAAUGGGCGAAAGCCUGAACCAGCCAUGCCGCGUGAAGGAAUAAGGCUUUCGGGUUGUAAACUUCUUUAAGGGGAGAGCAGAAGACGGUACCCCUUGAAUAAGCCACGGCUAACUACGUG